GAAAAGAAACCCUUCAAAAAUUUCGUUUAUCAUCGAAGCAAGGAAGACGAAGAAGACACAAGCAUAUAUAUAUAUAUACACACACACAUAUAUAUAAUCCCCAUUCGAUGCCCCAAGACAUCACCGCCGUUGUAUACUCUUUGCCAGAGUUGCGAUUGUUACUUCUCAAAGUGAUUGGACGGUAGGAGAUGAAGAAUUGGUUUUGAAAGACAUUUUUUCGUUUCAUUUUCGCCGCCUUUGCUGCAAUUAUGGCACAGCAAUCGUCGCGCCUCAAUCGGCUACUAACUUUGUUGGACACUGGUUCAACACAAACGACACGGUUUACUGCCGCACGGCAGAUUGGGGAUAUUGCCAAGUCGCAUCCGCAGGAGCUGAACUCUCUGUUGAGGAAGGUAAGC